ACCAUGAAGACACAAACACCUUAAUUUUUACUUCCUUGUUAUAAUAUGAGUUGGUUAUAACAGACUUAGGGUAUCAACAACAAUAAACUAAAACCUAUAAAAGAGGGACGUAAGAUACCACAGGGACAGUCAAAAUAAUAAAUCGAAAAUAAACUGGCAACGCCAUGGCUAAAAAUGAAAAAGAAAAACAGAAAAACCAUAGUUAACAGGACACAACAUAGAAAACUAAAAAAUAAGCAACACGAACCCCACC
rnacentral:lncRNA from 1 species